GCCUAUAGGUGCUUAGGACCGCUGGCUCCCGCAACCCACAGGCGUAUGGGGCUUGCAGCCCUUAGGCGCGUGCGGCCUGCAGCAUGCGGGGCCUGCAACACAUGCGGCCCAGGAUGUUAUGUGGUCCAUUGUGCAGUCCAUCGCACGGUCUAGGAGAUUGCUUAUGUGAUUUUUGUCGCGGUCCAUGCAUGCAAUCCAACAGUCGAGGGGCGCGAUCAGAGGGUGU
rnacentral:lncRNA from 1 species